CCUUAUCAAGAGUGGCGGAGGGACAGGCCCUGUGAUGCCCGGCAACCUGUGAUGAACACAAGGUGCCAAUUCCUGCGGUGAGAACCGAAAGAUGAGG
rnacentral:ncRNA from 1 species